CACAAUACAUUCCUUUGUUGCUGAAAUUGUUUAAAUAAAACCAAGGACAUAAUAUACAUAAUCGUUAGCAAAUACAGUAAUAACUGAAUGUACUGUUAAAACAAUAGCAACUUACUAAUGUGUACAGCCAGCGCGGCACCAUACGGCACAAGUGCACUCUUGACUAGGUUGAUCACAACGUGCGACACGCAAGAACCAGCUACCUUGGCAGUGCAAGGCCUGGAAAAUGGCUGCAGGAUCUGGCGCGUCAAGCGGCCACAGUCGUGGUUCGCCUGCGGCCCUAGAGUCAACUUUGGACCGACGGUUUCAAGGAGUGUCGAACACAAUGGAAUCAAUUCAAGGACUAUCAAAUUGGUGCAUCGAGAACAAGAAAUACCACAGUCUUAUCGUGCGUUACUGGAUGAAAUGGUUGAGGAAAUCUGAGGCUUCUCACCGGCUCAAUUUGUUCUUCCUCGCCAACGAUGUCAUUCAGAACUGUAAGAGGAAAAAUGCCAUUGUCUACCGUACUGCCUUCACCGACGUGCUCCCAGAGGCCUUCCAGCUGGUCAAUAAUGUGGGAGACUCUAAGGUGAUGAAGUCAGUGGACAGGAUAUUAACCAUCUGGGAGGAGAGGAGCGUGUACACAGAUGAGCUCAUAGCUGAGCUGAGGGCCAGUCUGGUCAAAGAGGAGUCACCUGCUGCUUUAGAGACACCUAAAGCUCCAGUCGACCCUAAAGCUGCUCUUCAAUCUAAGAUUGUAGCUGAAUUUGUCCCCCAAGUGUUCAUCGAUCACCUCUGUAAGUACCACAGCUCUGUGGAGGAGGUGGAGCUAAAGGAGAAACAGCUGGCAGGCAUGAGGGUGGACGUCUGCAGCACCGAGGUCCUCAAGAGACUGAAAGAUAAGGCAGGGGGAAAGAGGCACUCCAAGGACUUUGAGGACGGCAGUGCGAAGCUAAAGGAGUUUGUGGCCUUCCUUGACCGGCAGAUCAAAGGAGGGCCCCCUCUGUUGGAUGCUCUUGGCAACGCAGACAUUUUCUACGAGAUGCAGUAUAAGGAGGUCAAGAUAGUCGCCAAUGCCUACAAGACGUUUGCCAACCGGGUGUCCCACCUCAAGCGUAAGCUGGACAGCCUCAAGGCCACCUUACCAGACCUGGACGAGUCGCCCAUCCCCUCGCCCUCGAUGGACGCCCCCUCCCCCAAUGGCUCAGAGUCCCCCUUCCAUGGCCUGGCUGGCCCAGACGCCGACUUGGAUGGCCUGGCCAUGGAUGAUGAGGCGGACAUCACUCUGGGGGAAGCACCCAGCCCCCUGUCCUCCCCUGGUGGCUCCCCCAAGCAGGGCUUCACCGUCGGGGAGUCAGACAACCGCGACGUGGAGGACAUGGAGCUCUCGGAUGAGGAGGAGGCAGAGAGCAUCAGUAUCAUAGUUGAGGAGCGAGUUGAAAGUCCCAUCCCAUCUCCAGACCCCAUUCCUGUGCCUGUUGUCACACAGUUGCCGCUGGCCACAGAGGUAAAGCCUGUCCCACAGGCCACACCCUCCCCAGCUCUCAUGGCCCCUGUGACCCCUACAACCAACCUGUCAGGCAACCUCGCCAAUGUGGACAUGGGUAAAAUUAGCUCUAUCCUCAGCAGCAUCACCUCUGUCAUGAAGAAACCAGGAGUGAGUCCAGGUGGUUCUUUGGUCUGCCCCUCCUCUCCUGCCAAGACCGCCCCAGUAGCCCCCCAGGUAGCCAGCCCUCUGGCCAGCGUCCUGUCCAAAGUGGACAUGACUCCUGAGGCGCUCCUCAGUGCGCUGUCCAAAACCCAGGGGCAGGCCAGCGGACUACAGGGCCUCUCCACUCUUCUGAACAGCCCAGCUGGAAACCUCUCCUCAAACUCCCCCAGUACAGGCAAGCUCCCUCCCUCCGCCUCCACCCCUACAGUACCCUCUCGAGGCUUUCCUCUCGAACCGACCCCAUCAGCCCCUGCAGUGGGGAACACCACCACCAUCCCUCAGGCAGCGUCCCUUACCCAGCCCAAACAGCCUCUAGACAUCGGCCCUCAUAGAGGGCUGGUCCUGGAGCAAGAGAAGGAAGAAAAGCCCUCUGCUUCCAGCCUGGAGUCCAAGAUCCACAGCUUCCUGCAGGGUAACCCUGGCUUUAAUGCCUUUAACCUGGGCUUGACUAGCGAGGCCAUGCAAGCGGGAGGCAGCAACCUCAGCCCUUUAGCGGGUAAAGAGACCCAGGAGGGCACCCCGGUGCGGGACGAGGCCGCAGGAGGCACCCCAACCCUGGAUGAGAUCUUGGACACUCCGGGAGGAGCAGAGCCCUUCCUGGCCAAGCAAGGUCAGGUCUCUUCUGGGGGAGUUCCUAAACAACCAGAUGGUAGCCUGUCUCUGUCUCCAACUGCCUACCACAACCAAGCCUGGCAGGAUCCCAACAACCCUCAUGUCCACUUAGGACUACAACCAGGUGCUCCGAAUGGGCAGGGGUACCACCAGUUGCCUUAUGGAGGGAAGGAAGAGAUGCAUGGAAUAGCUCCUUCCCACAGAGAGUCUGGAUUGGCCCAUUACCAGCCCAUCACGAUACAGGUGUCAGCCCCAACCCUCGGAGAGGAGUUACCCAGUAACACACUAGGAGGGCCUCAGGCAGGGCCAAACCUCAGUGUGAGUGAAGGAGGAUGGUAUGGUAAUCCCUACCCAGAGGGACAGGCCCUGCAUCCCAGCAACCACGAGAUGGCUGCCUCAGGGGCAGGAGAUGGCAAAAACCCAAUGUCAGGACGGUAUGCAUACCAGGGGGAGGGGCAGACGCAGCCCUACCAAACAAAGGAUUCUCACGCUCUGCUUUCCCAACAGGGGGCCAACCCUUCAAGCUUCCUCACCAGCCCUCUGCCCCCCAUUCCCCAGCUGCCUCCACCGCCCUUCCCUGGAAUACCAGCCGCACCACAGGACUACCAGGGCCCGCCCGCGUCUGUCAUGGUGCAAGGAGUGAUGGUGCCUGUGGAGCGACCCUCACCAAACCCUGAGAUGGAGGAUAACAGGGCGGGCAUCAGUACAUUGGGCGGUCCGGUGAUUAUCAGUGAUCACCAGCACAAAUCUGCUUUCCACCCUGAGGGCCACCCCUAUCACCCAGAUGAUCUUCAUCGCCAUGCCGAUGACCCCCGUUGUCACCCUGACGACCCAUAUCACCCUGACGAUUUCCGUUGUCACCCUGACGACCUCUGCCGCCACCCCGACGAUCUACGCCGUCAGCCUGACGACCUGAAUCACCUUGACAACUUCCGUCUGCACCCCCACGGCCUCCCUCGUCACCCAGAUGAUCGCUAUUAUCACCCAGAUGAAUUCCACCAUCUACCUGUAGACAAUCCUCAUUAUCCUUAUAGAGUCAGAGAGCGCCUCACUCCCCCUCUCUCUCCCUCAGAAGACCCUUACUACUAUAACUACCCGCCACGCAGCCCUUCCCCUCCAUAUGGUCACAGACGCCCCCUAAACCCUCACAUGGACCUGCACCACCCUGACCACAUGCCCCUGCGUCCCCAUCCUCCACACCGUCCUCUCCACCCAGCUCACCAUCCACACCUGAGAGGCCUCCCGUGGGGUCCCCCACGCCCAACCCUCUGCGGCCCCAUGCUCAGGGGGAAACGGCCAGGUCCUCCUUUUGGUGGACACCCCAGAGGGGGACCAGGUGGUCCGUUCUUUCCCCCCAAAAGACCACACCUACCUCCGCGCUUCUGACUUGUUAACUGACUUGGGUGACAUCAAAUUACAGUUUUUAGGCUACCGGAAUGUAAUUGUGGCAGGGGGCCACAUGGAGGGUAGAAGUGGAGGAGAGAUGAGUUGGGAAAGAAGCAGGUUUAAGAGGCCUGAGAGGAAGAGGGGAAUAGACGAGUACAAUUGGAGGAGUAAAAGAGAGGAUUAGUGAAGACAUGGAUCUGGAGAAAGAGGGAAGGGAGAGGUCGGCCUGAACAACGGAGACACAGCGGAAUAAAAGAAAAUAUGAGUAACCUGGAUGACUCUGUGAUAUGGUGACCUGUGCGAGGAGUGGGAAACUGCUGGCGUGAGUGACAGACAAUACAACAAGGACUGAUGUUAUCUCCUCAAUGUCCACUAACCACGAUGUGAUGAACCAGAGCAACCAAUCAGCUUCACUGCAGCUGUUCAACCCACCACCCCCACUGCUCUCCCUCCACAAGCAACCACAUCCUCUUCUCCUGUUCAACUAAUUUGCCACCACACUGAAAAGGACUGUACAUGCAUACCCCUGUGCCCAUCUCAUUGCAACAUGAUCCAUCCAAGGCCUCAGCUGGACCCCUAAAAUGUGAGGAAUGUAAAUAAGAUACUACAGGUGUGUGUGUGUGUGUGUGAAUGGAGCUUGAAGAAAAGACAUGAGUGUGAUUAUAUUAUUAUUAUGUGCCCCUCUCUGUCAAUGUUGAAAUGCCAUAAAUGGAAGAUGGCAGAGAUAGUGAUGUGAGUGAGAGCAUAUGAAAAUA